GGGGAAUAUUGGACAAUGGGCGAAAGCCUGAUCCAGCAAUACCGCGUGAAUGAUGAAGGCCCUAGGGUUGUAAAGUUCUUUUAAUAGGGAAGAUAAUGACGGUACCUAUAGAAAAAGCCCCGGCCAACUCCGUGCCAGCAGCCGCGGUAAGACGGAGGGGGCUAGCGUUAUUCGGAAUUACUGGGCGUAAAGGGCGCGUAGGCGGAUUAGUAAGUUGGGAGUGAAAUCCCGGGGCUUAACCUCGGAAUUGCUUUCAAAACUGCUAGUCUUGAGUGAAGUAGGGGGUGAUGGAAUUCCUAGUGUAGAGGUGAAAUUCUUAGAUAUUAGGAGGAACACCGGUGGCGAAGGCGGUCACCUGGACUUCAACUGACGCUGAGGCGCGAAAGCGUGGGGAGCAAAC
rnacentral:rRNA from 1 species